UCCAUCAGUCAUAUCACCCUGCAAUUCACAACUAGCAACCCACUGAAGCUCAGCAGGUGUGAGCCGGGUCAGUACCUGGAUGGGAGACCUCCUGGGAAAGCUAAGGUUGCUGCUGGAA
rnacentral:rRNA from 1 species